AAUAGAUACCCGGGUAGUCCACGCCCUAAACGAUGCACAUUUGGUGUGGGUGAUUCAGUUCAUCCGUGCCGGAGCUAACGCGUUAAAUGUGCCGCCUGGGGAGUACAGUCGCAAGGCUGAAACUCAAAGGAAUUGACGGGGGCCCGCACAAGCGGUGGAGCAUGUGGUUCAAUUCGACGCAACGCGAAGAACCUUACCUGGGCUCGAACGGCUGGUCAUCGGCGGUGGAAACAUCGCUACCCCGCAAGGGGGUCCAGUCGAGGUGCUGCAUGGCUGCCGUCAGCUCGUGUCGUGAGAUGUUGGGUUAAGUCCCGCAACGAGCGCAACCCUCGUCCUGUGUUGCCAGCCCGCAAGGGGGAACUCGCAGGAGACCGCCAGCGAUAAGUUGGAGGAAGGUGGGGAUGACGUCAAGUCCUCAUGGCCUUUAUGUCCAGGGCUACACACGUGCUACAAUGGCCGGUACAAAGGGCAGCCAAGUCGCGAAACGGAGCCAAUCCCAAAAAACCGGUCUCAGUUCGGAUUGCAGGCUGCAACCCG
rnacentral:rRNA from 1 species